UACGUAGGGUGCAAGCGUUGUCCGGAAUUAUUGGGCGUAAAGAGCUCGUAGGCGGUUUGUCGCGUCGGCUGUGAAAACCUGGGGCUCAACCCCGGGCCUGCAGCCGAUACGGGCAAACUAGAAUUCGGUAGGGGAGACUGGAAUUCCUGGUGUAGCGGUGAAAUGCGCAGAUAUCAGGAGGAACACCGGUGGCGAAGGCGACUUCCUGGACCAGUACCGACGUUCAGGCACGAAAGCGUGGGGAGCAAACAGG
rnacentral:rRNA from 1 species